CCUGGAAGUGCUGGGAAUCAGAAGCUCCCGAUUGGGGAUUGUGCAAAGCGCUGGCCCUCUGCCAAGGAAAAUAUUUUGGGAUGUCAUCGAUAAAUGGCACAUACACAUCCUCUCGGCCCUGUGGCGGGGGAAGGGAGCCAAGUCCAGCCUCUUGGCCCUGUUCAUCUCCCCUGUGGUUUCGUGUUGCCCCUGGCCUGCCCUGACUGGGCUGCUCUGAUCCGUCGGGUAGGUGCCUGGCACGGGGCUCUGCAAGUGCCCAGCCAGAUGUGGCCGUAUCCGGGCGCUGGGGAAGAGAGUCCCGGGCAUUAGGUAGCUUACCCGGGGCUCUUAGGGGGCAGUGCCCUCUCACUUGGGCCAAGUGUCCAGAUCGUGGAGUAAGAGCCGUAAAACCAGAAGUGCCACAAUCCAUGGAAAGCCAGACACCGCAUUGUUUCAGUGAAACCACCAAGUCUAUCUGAAAGGUAGGAAUGAACGAAGAAGGAAGACACUGGAGAAAAAUCCAAGGGCGUUCAGGGAAACAAACUCUCUCCACAGAGAUAAUUGGUAAGAACAGAUAAACAACUGGACAUCAUGGGCACCAUUUUGGCUCCAGCGAAUCUCUCUUUCUCUCUCUCUCUCUCUCUCUCCUGUCAAAGUUUAGCUUGUUUUUACCGUUGAUUGGAAGUGGUGAAGGUUUCUGAUACGAACGCAGUGGCUAGGAGCAGCAGUGCUGUCUGUGGCAGACGGACGCUUUCGAUUUUAAUCAUGAGUGGCGGAAGGAAGCGGCCGGGGCUGGAGAAUCGAGCUGGAGAAAAAGUGACAGGGAAAGGACUGUCGUGAUAGAAUUGAUGUCAGAGAUCUCCUGUGGCAUCAUCAACACCUUUCCUGAGAGAAUGGUGAGAUAUCAGUCUGGUCAACCCUUCGAGAUCAUAAUGGAAUGGACAAUUUAUGACUCGCAAUUUACAGACCAAGAUCCCUAUGGAAAACCGGUAGAAGCAGCAUGGCUUAAUGGAUCAAGUACGGGACUGGGAGUCAGAAGAAACUGGGUUCUAAUCCCAGAUCUCCUACUUUUCUUUUGUUGUGACCUUGGGUAAGUCACUUCACUUCUUUGGGCCUCACUUGCCUCAUCUGUAAAAUGGGGAUUAAGACUGUGAGCCUCAUGUGAGAUAGGGACUGAGACCAACCUGAUUAGCUUGUUAUCUAUCCCAGUGCUUAGUACAGUGCUUGGCACAUAGUAAAUAUCAUUUUAAAAAAAGGGGGGUGCCAAAAAGGGACCUGGAAGGAGGGUGGCCUGAACUGGGUGUCAGUUUGAUGGACAUUGGUCUGAAGUACAGCCAUAGUGAAUUGUCAGCCCCGAGCGAGGUGGCCAUUGGGGAGCUUUCAGAACGGGACACAGACAUUCCUGCUGAAGUGACAUCUUGGAAGGAAGGGGA
rnacentral:lncRNA from 1 species